ACUCGAGUGGCGAACGGGUGAGUAACACGUGGGUGAUCUGCCCUGCACUUCGGGAUAAGCUUGGGAAACUGGGUCUAAUACCGGAUAGGAGCCAUCUUUAGUGUGGUGGUUGGAAAGUUUUUCGGUGUAGGAUGAGCUCGCGGUCUAUCAGCUUGUUGGUGGGGUAAUGGCCUACCAAGGCGGCGACGGGUAGCCGGCCUGAGAGGGUGUACGGCCACAUUGGGACUGAGAUACGGCCCAG
rnacentral:rRNA from 1 species